rnacentral:rRNA from 1 species
AUUGAACGCUGGCGGUAGGCCUAACACAUGCAAGUCGAACGCGAAAGUCCUUCGGGAUGAGUAGAGUGGCGGACGGGUGAGUAACGCGUAGGAAUCUAUCCUGUAGUGGGGGAUAACGUUUCGAAAGGAACGCUAAUACCGCAUACGCCCCAAGGGGGAAAGCGGGGGAUCUUCGGACCUCGUGCUAUAGGAGGAGCCUGCGUCGGAUUAGCUAGUUGGUGAGGUAAAGGCUCACCAAGGCGACGAUCCGUAGCUGGUCUGAGAGGAUGAUCAGCCACACCGGAACUGAGACACGGUCCGGACUCCUACGGGAGGCAGCAGUGGGGGAAUAUUGCGCAAUGGGCGAAAGCCUGACGCAGCCAUACCGCGUGUGUGAAGAAGGCCUGGUUGUAAGCACUUCGGUUGGGGAAGGAAA